rnacentral:tRNA from 1 species
GGAGCGAUAGCUCACUGGUAGAGCACGAGAUUCGUCAUCUCGCGGUUGAAGGUUCGAUUCCUUCUCGCCCCA